AUUAUGUUUGCUCUUGCCAUGGCUCUGAAAUGUCAGAGCUUCAGGCUGUCUCUGCCUUAUGAUUUCUCAGGCAUGUGAUUUCAACCUCUUCAAACAGCAACCAGCGUUGUUAGAGGUUUCUCUCCAACUGAUCAAUGCUAACUGGCUGUUUAACUCUUCCUGUGCUGGACGCAAUUUUGCUAGUCCCUUCUUUUGAUCCGAUCCAACUGCCUAUCCAAGCAUUGUGUAAACCCCACUUGGACUGACUGGCUGGUGUGGCUCUCCUUUGGGAUGCUUGCUAGAUUCGGCACAUAUACUGUGGAAUCCUUUUUCACAGUUUGAUUUAAUGGCAUAAAGCUGAUUUUAAUUGUGAUUGGAUGUUCUU